rnacentral:rRNA from 1 species
CGAACGGGUGCGUAACACGUGAGCAACCUGCCCCAAAGACCGGGACAACCCGAGGAAACUCGGACUAAUACCGGAUGCCCUCACCGGGUCGCAUGGUCUGGUGAGGAAAUGGAUUCCGCUUUGGGAUGGGCUCGCGGUCUAUCAGCUUGUUGGUGGGGUAACGGCCUACCAAGGCGACGACGGAUAGCUGGUCUGAGAGGACGAUCAGCCACACUAGGACUGAGACACGGCCCAG